GCACUCAUAGCUCAAUUGGAUAGAGUACUUGACUACGAAUCAAGCGGUUGCAGGUUCGACUCCUGCUGGGUGCA
rnacentral:tRNA from 1 species